rnacentral:lncRNA from 1 species
ACUCUACUCUUCAGGAACUUAGUGCAUCAGUUUCCUCCUAAGCCAUACUGGGCUGCCACUGUUCUUCAUAUAUCAGGUUCAAGCUGAUGGAUCCAAGCCAAAGGACUCCAUAUUCUCCAAAGCCUAUAAGCAGAAUGCUGGUGUGGUGGGGCGGGGGGCGGUGAGGGGGGGGAAGAAGUUCCAUUGUGUCCCUACUGAAGGGACACAGAAGUACCAAAAGGGUCACUGAACUGCCAGGUACCAAGUGGUACCAGGUGCAACGAGGCUGCCAAAGGCAGAGAUGGGCCAAGCCAUCAACUUCAGCUGAGGUUGAGACAUGGCAUCCAUAAAUGCCAAACAGGACCAUACUCUAUGCAGAGAAUAAGGAUCAGAAAAUCAAGUGCAAAACGGGAAGUCUCCCUAGAACCCACAUGUGCUGAUUCAAGACACCCUUAUUCUUAAGCCACAGUGUUACCUAUUCCCUUGCCCCGAACACCCAGAUACCAUUUUGGUGAGGAACAGGAGAAAGGAAAGGGAAUAAAAUGUAAAAGGACUGUUUGAAUCAGAAGAGACUGACAUAUUGAUAUUUGUCCAGUUCCAUGGUUUCUACCCCACACCCAAUAAGAAAGAGGCUUAAGAGGAACAUUAGUUCAUGAGACUAACUGGCUGUUCAUUAAACACACAGCUGGACUACAUUUUCUAGCCUUCCUUGCAGUUAGGUGUAACCAUGUGAAUGGAUCCUGG